UACGAAGGGGGCUAACGUUGUUCGGAAUCACUGGGCGUAAAGGGCGCGUAGGCGGCUUUGUAAGUCGGGGGUGAAAGCCUGUGGCUCAACCACAGAAUUGCCUUCGAUACUGCAUGGCUUGAGACCGGAAGAGGUUAGUGGAACUGCGAGUGUAGAGGUGAAAUUCGUAGAUAUUCGCAAGAACACCAGUGGCGAAGGCGGCUGACUGGUCCGGUUCUGACGCUGAGGCGCGAAAGCGUGGGGAGCAAACAGG
rnacentral:rRNA from 1 species